rnacentral:sRNA from 1 species
GGAUAUUACUGAGUUACCGCUCUAUAACCCUUUGUGAACAUACCUAACCGUUGCUUCGGCGGGCAGGGGAAGCCUCUCGCGGGCCUCCCCUCCCGGCGCCGGCCCCCACCACGGGGACGGGGCGCCCGCCGGAGGAAACCAAACUCUAUUUACACGACGUCUCUUCUGAGUGGCACAAGCAAAUAAUUAAAACUUUUAACAACGGAUCUCUUGGUUCUGGCAUCGAUGAAGAACGCAGCGAAAUGCGAUAAGUAAUGUGAAUUGCAGAAUUCAGUGAAUCAUCGAAUCUUUGAACGCACAUUGCGCCCGCCAGCAUUCUGGCGAGCAUGCCUGUUCGAGCGUCAUUUCAACCCUCAAGCACCGCUUGGUUUUGGGGCCCCACGGCACACGUGGGCCCUUAAAGGUAGUGGCGGACCCUCCCGGAGCCUCCUUUGCGUAGUAACUAACGUCUCGCACUGGGAUCCGGAGGGACUCUUGCCGUAAAACCCCCCAAUUUUUUACAGGUUGACCUCGGAUCAGGUAGGAAUACCCGCUGAACUUAAGCAUA